rnacentral:sRNA from 13 species
GCCAGACAUGGUGGCACAUGCCUGUAAUCCCAGCUACUCUGGAGGCUGAGGCAGGAGGAUUGGUGGAACCAGGGAGACAGAGGCUACAGAGAGCCAAGAUCAUGCUACUGCACUCCAGCCUGGGUUACAGAGUGAGACUCUGUCUCAAAGAAAAAAAAAUUAUUUCAAAAACCUCUAUUAUAUAGUUUUGCUUUUUUUUUUUUUAGACUGAGUCUAGCUCCAUCGCCCAGGCUGGAGUGCAGUGGUGCGAUCUCGGCUCACUGCAACCUCUGCCUCCUGGGUUCCACCGAUCCUCCUGCCUCAG